rnacentral:rRNA from 1 species
AUUGAACGCUGGCGGCAGGCCUAACACAUGCAAGUCGAACGAGUGGCGGACGGGAGAGUAAUGUCUGGGAAACUGCCUGAUGGAGGGGGUUAACUACUGGAAACGGUAGCUAAUACCGCAUACCAUCGGAUGUGCCCAGAUGGGAUUAGCUAGUAGGUGGGGUAAAGGCUCACCUAGGCGACUAUCCCUAGCUGGUCUGAGAGGAUGACCAGCACCAGUGGAACGGAGACACGGUCCAGACCCCUACGGGAGGCAGCAGUGGGGAUAAUUGAACAAUGGGCGCAAGCCUAAUGCAGCCAUGCCGCGUGUAUGAAGAAGGCCUUCGGGUUGUAAAGUACUUUCAGCGGGGAGGCGUUACCCGCAGAAGAAGCACCGGCUAACUCCGGGCCAGCAGCCGCGGUAAUAC